CUGCACCAUCAUGUGUCCUCCAGCUGACCGUUCCGAUGCCUCUGAUCGUAUAGCAUGAUUCAUCUGACAGAUAAACAGUGCCCUCACUGUUCUUCAAGGAGUCAAACCGAUCCUCUCUACAACAUACAUGAUAUGUGCAUGUAGAAUCUAAAAUCUACUAUUGAAAAGAAGUAGAUACCUCGUCAGAUAUAUCCAAGAUAUCUCUCUCUGAAUCGCUACUGACCGUCGCUACAGCAGCCAUCAUCCGAUCUCUGAGUUGAGGGUAAUCUCUGGCUAGAUGUCCCAACUCAUCACACCGGUAAUAUCUGAUUUUGCUCAAGUCCUUCCUGGACUUGGACCAUCUUCGUCGGAUUUCCUGUCACUCCAUCUAUCACCUUCUGCUCCAUCAGAACUACCAAAGCUGAGCUGCCGCCACUUGAGCUCGAAGCUGGAUUCUCCCUCCUGAGAAUCUCA
rnacentral:lncRNA from 1 species